GGUGUUACAGAGCGAGGGAGGACACAGCUGCACUUCGUAAGCCCAGCAAGCACCAUCACCAGUUCCUUGAGUAUCACGUGCAAGGGUUUGGAAACAGAAACAGGACUGCCUGGCAGUAAACUCACGUGUGCUGUCCGUGUAUGACCCAAAGCUGCUGUGUGAGGCAGGUGCCCUUAUGCAGACGGGAAAGCUGUUCCUCAGACUGAGAGAGGAAGACACCACAUUGUAGACCAGGUACACACACUCAGUCUCAGCUUCUCCCACCCUUUCAUGUUGAUGAAGCCGGCUGCUGUGCUGUGAGCCACCUCAGGAGAAGCCUCCAGCAAACAGCCAGUGAGGACUGGCGGCCCUCAGGUGAACGGCCAGUGGGGACCGGCGGCCCUCAGGGUGACCUGUUCCACCAGGGAAGAGAUGAAAUACAGUCGAGUCACUGGAGGAAACCGUACUCCGCAAGGUUGCGAGGUGGGCUCUGCAGCCUGAGACAGUCCCACAGAAGCUGCAUGAGGAGGCCAGUGGUCCUCAAGAGACGACGCCGUCGAGUCUGCCUGCAGGGUCAGGACGUCUCCGAGAGGACUGACACGGAGCAGGUGCUGUGCGUCCACAGGUGGGCGAUGGGUGCGGAAAUCCCAGCAGGGAGGGGCAGAGGGCACCCCAGAUGUGCAAGGCCGGGCAGCUAGUGGGGGUGUAGGAGAAGCAGAAGACAAUGACCACCUCGAACUUCCACCUCGGGUUAGAGAACCGUCUGGUGAAGUUCUUUAACAGAAACAGUUCCCUCCAGGGAGAAGUGUCGAGGCCUAUCAGUACCAUGCGGCUCCUCUGUGGGCCCCGGACAACUUGGUGCCUUUUUGGUGUGAGCUCACAGAUAAGCAACUGGGAUGCUUUGCCUUCUAUUCAUUCCUGACAAUGACCAGUGAGGGGAAGAAGGAACCCAGAUGAUAAACACAGAGGCAGGAAGAGGGGGCGCAUGAUGGGACCCUGGGGCCUGAAGCUUGGCGCCACUCUGCUGUCUGUCAGGCCACGGGCAAGAUAUUGCCUCUAUCUCAGGGUUCCAGUCCGCAAAACGGGCGCAAGGUAUCAACUACUUCCUGGCACCUGCCUAGCCAGACUCAUGGAACAGAAUAUAGUUCAGAAAAAAACCUCAAUCCAUGUAUGAGCUGCUGGUAUGUGGCACAGGCAGCAUCUUUUCAGUGGUGAAAAGACAAAUUAUUGGUAACGAUGUUCAAACACUAGGUGACCACCUUCAGUGAGAUGCACACCUCACCCCAGCCCCUGGCAGGACCCUACAGGGCCACGGUGUGAACGCCAGGGAGAAAACCGCAGAACGCAGAGCGCGUGGGGCCCCCAGGACCCAGCCUGGGGAAGCCCUUCCACAUCCCGCCACAAAGCCCAGAAGCUGCACAACAGAUGAAAAGUUUUCACCCAAAAUAUUUUUUCAAGGUCAAAACACCUACAACAAAACAAAGUUGAAAGACAAAUGACACCGGGGGAAAAUAUGCAAGCAAUCCAUGUCUCAGACGGAGAGCUAAUCUUUAUUGCCAAAGAACUCUAACAGAUCAACGAACAAACUGUUCACAAAAAA